GCUUUGUGGGAACUAUGGUGUUGAACGCUGAGCUGUAGUCAAUGAACAGCAUUCCCACAUAGGUGUUCCUUUUGUCCAAGUGGGAAAGGGCAGUGUGGAGUGUGAUUGAGAUUGCGUCAUCUGUGGAUCUGUUGGGGCGGUAUGUGAAUUGUAGUGGGUCUAGGGUUUCCGGGAUGAUGAUGUUGAUGUGAGCCAUAUCCUGUUCAAAGGCACUUAAAUAUUUUGUCUUGCCCAUUCACCCUCAGAUUUGCACACAUACACAAUCCUUGUCUCAAUUGUCUUAAAAAAAACAUUUUUCCUCCCUUUCAUCUACACUGAUUGAAUUGUACUGUAUUUAACAAGUGACAUCAAUAAGGGAUCAAAGCAUUCACCUGGUCAGUCUAUGUCAUGGAAAGAGCAGGUGUUCUUAAUGUUUUGUUCACAGUGUAUAUGACUGAGACAUUAUUCUGAUUGUUCAGAUGCCAUGUCCUCCGCAACAUUUGCCCACACUUGCUGCAUGAGCCUGGUUUUUGCUCUCUGUGGUUUUCCUGUGCACAUGCUCCACAUCUACUUCUCCAUUCAAACACUCCCACUGUCUCUGUCACAUACACCCUACCUUGUGAAAUCAUACUUACAGUCUGAAACACUCUGUAUAAUUACAAUGUUCAUCCCUGAUAUGGCAGCUGGUUGUCUGUUUUUGGUCAUCGUCCUUCUAUAUACCUUUCAAUACAUCAAAGCCCAAGUUCAGAAACCAGUGAUUAGUACCAGUCAUAAUGAGGAGGAUUUCAUCAUCACCUGUUUGAUUCCUGGAAUUGCUGGUAACGACACCUGCUGUAACCUGUAUAUUGGAGAGAAGAAUAAGCCAUUCUUGAAAACACGGAUAUGGAAAAAGAAAACCCAAAAAACCAAGCAAUGGUACUGUACAUUCUCUGUGACCGAAGACGAUCUGAUCAGACAUCUACAGUCAGUGAGGAGUAAGGCGGUGAGCUGUGACUACAGAGUGAACUCAGGAACAAACUCUCUCUCUCCACGUAGUGAUGGAUACAGCUUUACAGAUCUGGUGGAAGUUCACAUCAGUGAUCCAACAACUAUUACAGCAGGAUUGACCUCUCCUUUGACCCCCAGCACAGCAGUGAAUCCUACGUCAGGUUGGACUGUUCUUUCUACUUUGACCACUGACACCGCAAAGAUUUCAACUGAAGGAGGUCAAAGCUACACAGAAAGUGAGGUUUUUUCAAACAGUCAAGAAAGCGUUCCAGCAUGUUCAACUGUUGCUUCUACUUUGACCCUUGACAUCACAGUGAGACCAACUACCAGUUUGACCUCUCCUUUGACCUCCAGCACAGCAGUGACUACUACAUCAGGAAAAGGCUCCACAGAAAGUAUUCUGUGUAUGUAUCCUUCUCUAGCUGACUACCUUUCUUUUAAAAUACAUAUGAAAACAAACAAAUGUAUCAGACAAAUAAUAAUGUGGUCUUUAAAACCUAGUCUUGAUGUACUGACUCUGGGUAAUAACCUCUUCUACUGUUCCCAAACAGCGGGGCAGGUUUGGCAGGCAGCAGUGGCUGUGGUUUCUGGAGUGGGUGUGUUCCUGGUGGGAUUGACUGCUUUCUGUCUCUGCAGGAGCACCAAGAAAAACAAUUCUCAGAGACCUACAGCCAGACAGGAUGAUGACAACCAAUAUGAUUUGGUGUUGGGAGCCAUGAGCAGUGCAGCCAUGAUGGAUUCUGGGGAAGCUGGGAUAUACAGUCUGAUCACCUCUGUACCAGCCACGUUUUUGCCCUCAGGUCCUGUGCAGGUAUCUGCACAUGAAGAUGUCGAUUCAGGGAAUACAGGGAUCUAUAGGCUGAUCACUGCACCACGCACAUCUAUACCUUCAGGCCCUAUUGAAGAGAAUGGACAGUCAUUUGAAAACUACACAGUAAGUAGAAUCACCAACUGUGUUAUGUGUGUGACUUUCAGUUUCAGAUAUGUAUUACAUCCAUAA
rnacentral:lncRNA from 1 species